ensembl:snRNA U4 U4 spliceosomal RNA
AGAUUUGCUUAGUGGCAGUAUCAUAGCCAAAGGAAUGAUUAUUGCUAAUUGAAAACUUUUCCCAAUACCCUGCCAUGAUGACUUGAAAUAUAGUCAGCACUGGCAAUUUUGAGUCUCUAUGGAA